UGGGGAAUCUUGGACAAUGGGCGAAAGCCUGAUCCAGCCAUGCCGCGUGCAGGAAGAAGGCGUUAUGCGUUGUAAACUGCUUUUUGCCAGGGGAUAAAAAGACCGUGCGCGGUUAAUUGAAGGUACCUGGUGAAUAAGCCACGGCUAACUACGUGCCAGCAGCCGCGGUAAUACGUAGGUGGCAAGCGUUGUCCGGAUUUAUUGGGUUUAAAGGGUGCGUAGGUGGCCCUGUAAGUCAGUGGUGAAAUAUCUCAGCUUAACUGAGAGGGUGCCAUUGAUACUGCAGGGCUUGAGUACAGAUGAGGUAGGCGGAAUUGACGGUGUAGCGGUGAAAUGCAUAGAUAUCGUCAAGAACACCGAUAGCGAAGGCAGCUUACCAAGCUGUAACUGACACUGAGGCACGAAAGUGUGGGGAUCAAACAGGAUUAGAUACCCCCGUAGUCCCUGAGCGGGCUGGCAAGGCGCAU
rnacentral:rRNA from 1 species